ACGUGAGGCGGGAGUAGGGCAGGGCUGCAGCUGCCGCCCGGCAAGCGCGGUAUGCUCCGCAUCCCUCGACCGUCCCCCGCCCGGUGCUCUGCCGGUGGGAAUACUCAGCCAGAGCCCUGUGUCACCUCACAAAGGGCGGCCAGGCCGUGUUCCCGGGUCGUCCCGAGCCGUAACCUGCCCUCCGACGCCCCUGAGGCACCCAGCGCCCACAGCAGCCGAGCCGGGCAGGAGCGGCACUGCCCGUCUGCCACCACCCGGCUUUUUGCUUGUGCGGCGCGGGUUAAGGCUUGUUGGCAGCACCUCUAAGUGCUCUAACUGCACGAGGUGCUGCCGCGUUUCAGGCAUGUGUGCCAUGCAUCAGCGAUCCAGAGAAGGUUGUCAGGGAUUUGACUGAAGCUGAACUGGAUUCUCUGUCACAUUCACAAAAUAUCCGUGAGGAAUACAAAGAAAUUUCCCAAAGGCUGUCCAGCAAGGAGUGUGCUUGGCUGCACAGCAGUGACCCUGCCAGGCAUGUGCAAGGAAUGUGGAACUCGAUGGUUCCUUUUGUUCAAGUCCCAGCUUCACUUCCCAGGAACAUGGAUUUGCUGGUAAAACAUGGAAUACUUCUGUUUACUUGUAAAGCUGCUUGUUGCUUAGUUGCCUUUGGAGGUGCUGCUUAACAGAAAAUGUAAUUAUAGAAAUAAAACUGUUUUCCAAUAUAUAUGAUACAGUAGAGAUGAUAAAUGAGGAGGAGUGUGGAAAAACAGGAUUAUUUUGUCUAAACCAAGUGGUAUGUAUAACUUUACUGAGCAUAGAUACAAGAAGUCCAUUUAAAGCUUUGUUUGACCUACAAAAUUCUAGGUAAACACAUGUAAACUUAAUUUUAUAGUGAUUUUAUUAGUAGUAAAGUUAGUAUUUAUUUAUUAUUAGUAAAGAUUAGUAGUUUACUAAUCUUUUGUGCAGUAGCUUUUUCAGUGGAGGUCCUGAGACCAAAUCUGUGAGACUAUCUCUGGAUGGCAACAAAGAUAAAGCUUCUUCCCACUUACAGACCUGAAAGCAAAAUUAUUAAUUUAAAAUUAUUCUGUUUCCUGCUCAGAAUGUUGGAUGUUUCACAGGUAAGCAGCAAAUUCCUGUACUCUGGGAAGAGAUUUCAAGAACUAUCAGGAAGAAAUAUGGAAGAAUAGGUAGCAGUAGUUGGUGGCCCUGCUUUGGGGGCAAUCAUACUAUUAAGUUUUGGUGAAGAUACAUAUAGUAGCAUGCUGUGGGAAGACAGCCGAUGGAAGAUCUUGUUCUCUGGUUGUUUGCAACUCUUUACUUACCAUAGAAACGUAUUUGGGAUGGUCCCAGCUUGCUUUGAACUCCCCACUCAUUACUGCAAACAAGGAAACUCCCAGGAACGGCAAAGCUGUUGGGUGUGGGUUUUGGAGAGCUUGAAAAUCAGGAUUAGCGGAGGAGGAGAUCUGCAUUGCCUAGUGACAAAACAGGGUGCUGCAGUCUGUGCUCAGAGCACUUCAGGAAAGAAAUAGUAAUUGUGUGACCGUUUUAUAAAUGUUGCAGGUGAGAAAUGCGAUGCUGGAGAGCAGCACCAUGGAAAGGGCCCUGGGAUCCUGGUCGAUGGCAAGUUGAACACGAGCCAGCAGUGCCCUGGCAGCCAGGAGGGACAUCCCUGUCCUGGGGGCACCAGGCACAGCAUCACAGCCGGGCGAGGGAGGGGAUGGUCCCGCUCUGCUCUGCACUGGGGCGGCCUCACCUCCAGGGCGGGGCCAGUUUUGGGUGCCACAAUAUAAAAGUGACACUGAGCUGUUGGAGAGCAUCCAGAGGAGGCCACAAGGAUGGUGAAGGGCUUUGAGGGGAAGCCAUGAGGAGUGGUCACUUGGCUGUUCAGCCUGUUCACUGUCAGUGUUCACUUGGCGGGAGGAGAGCGAGGGAGGACCUCACUGCAGUUAUAACCUCCCAGGGAGGGGAAGAGGAGGGGCAGACACUGCUCCGGAGUGACGGUGGCAGGACCCGAGGGAAUGGCCUACAUUUGUAUCGGGGGAGGUUUAAAUUAUACAUCAGGAAAAGAUUCAGAGGGUGGUUGUGCACUAGGACAGGCUCCCCAGGGCAGUGGUCACAGCUCCACGCUGAGCGAGCUCAGGAAGCGUUUGGACAAUGCCCUCAGGCACAGGGUGGGAUUCUUUGGGUGUCCUGUGCAGGGCCAGGAGUUGGAUUCAGUGGUCCUUGUGAGACCCCUCCAAUUCAGCUGAUUCUGUGUGUUGGCCCUAAAAAUGGGUCAAUCCCGAUUUUCUGUACUUAUAACAGAGCCAUUCACCUCCAUACAUUUUAUAUUUACAUGUUCUUGUAAAAACUUUGAAAAAAAUUUCUGUUCAAAAUUUUAUUCUGAAACAGUUUUUACUCAUUUCAAGAAAGGAUUUCCAGAACUUUGAGGUGACAAUUCAGCAGAAUUCUUGCAUAAUCCAUAGAAUUCUUUAUGUCAGCACCAUAGCUCCAGUUUCAGGUAGCUUAAACAAGAAAAAUACUGAGCCAAAGUAUAAUCUGCCUUCAAGUAAUUUAAAUAAUUGCAGGCUUGUGGGGCCUUGCCAUGUCUUGUACUGCAGAUAUUUAGAUCAGUGAUGAUGAAGAAAUAAUAAGACAGAGCUGCUGUGAUGGAAAGCCCCAUAUUAGCUUUUAGUCUUUCUGCAAAGCUCCAUUAACUGUGACAUGAAAGUACAUAUAGAUAUUACUUAGUACGGCUCCAUGAAGUUCGCAUACGAUUAACUGCAAACUUAAACACGUGACAAAAAAAAAAUUAGUAUCUUGCUUAAACAAAUUUGCCAGUGGAUAAUGAAAUACUUAUUUACCCCUAAGCAUUUUAUACAUUAAGUCGUUUAUAAUGUUGAAUAGGAGUCUGAAGAAAGUUUUAAAUAACUUUUUUUCAGUGAAUGCUUACCUUCUUUGGGCUGUUUUCUGCCCUUUCUUGAAUCCUGAUGGUUAUUAGCUCUUCUGAUCAGUAGCAGUUCUAUCAUCCAUCAGCAUUAUCCUUGAAUUCAGGACUUUAAUUAGAAGAACUUAAUCUCCCAAAGACUCUACUGAAAUGUGUGGUAGAUCGCUUCCUUGCCUCUUACAGCAGUGGUUUUGAGUGUAAGAGCGGCUUUCCUUUCUUGCUAGAAGAAAGUAAGCUGGAGUAACUUCCCUUCCAUGUUUGAUUCAUUGCUGUAGUUGUCUAAAUAAAACACGUAUUUUUUAUUCUGUAUGUAAGCAAGUAAGUCUGAAGGUAAACGUGCAUUUGUAUGUAUGCAUAUACAAAUACACAUCAUGUUUAUUUUUACCUAAAUGGUA